UAGGUGUUUUGCUUUGCUUCCCGCUCUCAGCUCUCCGUGUGUGAGCGAGAGAUAGGAGAGAGAAAGGGAGAGUGAGAGAGAAUGCCCUCUAGGAAGCUGACAGACAAGUCUCUGUGACGUCAAGCAGUAGAGCUUUGGAUCUGAGAGGUGCAGUUUGGUCUCUUGGCCGCGCCCCCAACCCUUUUCUCCCGCCUCCCUCCAGCAGAAUAACAGUAGGUUCAGGGAUUGGGAGAAGCUAAAGAAGUGGCUCUGGUAUACAGAGUGGAUGCUCCAAGAACCUCCAAGAAUGAGGAGAGGAAGAAAAGAGGGAGAAAGGCUGUGAUGUGGGCAUCGAGGAGACAGGGUGAACUGGAAGUAUUCAUAGCUUAAAAACAAUAAGGAAAGAACACCCAAUCGUGUGAGAAGGAAAGGAGAAUGAGGAGGCAACAGGAAUUCGGGGGUGAUGAGGGCAAGAGGAAGAUAAAGUUAGCUGAAAGGCCUAAACUAAAGGUUGGAGAUUGGGAUUCUAUCAACCUUUAGAGGAUAGUAGUCCAAGGGUUUACAGAGAGAGAAGAGAAAGGUCUAUUCUAUCCCAACCUCAUCUGCCCUCCAACAGUGGAACGACAUGCAAUAUCUUUUCCAGUCAUCUUUCCUGGGAUACUUGGCCACCUGAACAACUAGGCAAGUGAUUUACAUCCUUUUGUGUCAUUGUUAAUACUCUACUGUCUGUUUAAAAUUUGUAAUGCUUCCCUUUUUUCUCACCUCUUUUUUCCAUCAGUGUUAAAUAAUAGGUGGUUAAUAAUUGUUGAUUGAUUAGGUGAUGGAGUACAGAGAACACUGGUAACUCUGAGCAGAGGAGUUGAUCAAUCCAUCUGUCAAGAAUUAUUGAGCAACUGCUAUGUGUUAGAUUUUACUGUUGUCUCUGAUGGCACUCCUGGUGAAAAUGGAUGGAGGUACUCCAUGGUGCAUGCCAAAUGGGGAGAUUCCAGUGAUAUAAAAGUUCUAGCCUGAGCUAAUAGGCCUUGCUGAGUCUCAGUUUCCCAGCAGAACUAGGUCUUCAGUGUGGUGGAGUGAAAAGAAUACUGGAUUUAGAUUCAGAAGACCUGAAUUUAAAUCCUGACUCUGCCAAUAACUGGCUAUUUGACUUUGGGCAAAAGUAUUUCUACCCUAGAGUGCAGAUUUCUUCAUCUUUAAAUCAAUCAGAAAG
rnacentral:lncRNA from 1 species